rfam:Gossypium raimondii chromosome 3, whole genome shotgun sequence.
AUUCCGUGAUGAGGGCACUUUCGUAAUAAUUCUUUGUACCUCUCCCAUGUCAUACAAUGACUCAUCAUCCAUUUGUUGGAAACUAGUGAUCUCGUUCCUCAGCUU